UUCGUCGGUCUCCAUGGGUCCCUCCGCUCCUCUCGCCGCCACCUCGGAGCGCCGCGUCGUGCCUCCCCACCCUCCCCUUCCUUUCCCUCUUCCUCUCCCUCUCCUUCUCUCACGACGCGACGGCUCACUGGGCAGGCUCGAGUGUGGCCGGCUUUCGACGAGACGAUGCGAUGGCCACCGGCAUGGGCGGCGCGACGCGCAGGCGCGGGCUCCCCCGCAGCGGUGCGUCGACGUGGACGGCCGGCAAAUGCCGCGGCAGCAUCGCCGACCUAGGGUUUCGUCCUCAGGUCAUCCCUCAUCCUCCCCUCUCUCCUGCGGCUCAAAAGCCUAGCCACCAGGUACGGAUGACUAUGGCUACUUCUCCUUCCCUAUUUGUGCUUGAACUUUAUUGUUUAAUUUUCUACAGUCAAAGAUUUAUUCCUUCUAAUUUGUAAUCUUGUACGCGUGCAGUUGCAGUAGAUUUGCCUACUGAUUUUCAGAUAUUUUUUGUAUAGUUUAUUAUCUUGUUUACUCCCAUAUAAAUCUAAACCUUGAUUCUAAAUGUUUCAUGAUAAGAAAUCAAUUGAACUUUAGUGUUUAGUUAGAUCUAUCUCUUUAGAUUUGUUACCUGGUGAACGUGCAUUUGUGGUAGAUUUGUCUGAUGAUUAUGAUUUCCUUUUUGUCUCCAAAGAUUAUUGCCUUGUUUAUUUUGCCCUAUAAAUUUGAACCUUGUUUUCUGAAUGUUUCAUGCUAAGCAAACAACGCCGUCGACGCUCGCAAGGCCAGCUGGAUCAGCAGCUCAGGGAAAAAACACAUGAUCAACUCCUCCGUGUUGACCACGUAGCAAACCUGGAAGCUCAGUCUGAAGCUACGCCAGAACGCUUGCGCUUACUCACUAUCUUUAGAUUUUUUUUUUGUCGAGAUUAACUAAUGAGUCUCUAACAUGAGAUUAACUAAUUGUUCCGAUAUUUUUUUCUGCCCAGAGUACCUUACGUUAGUGACUCAUUGUCUACUCAGUUUUCUUGCAGUAAGGUAUUGUGAUGUCCCCCUUUCUUUUUUUUCUCUUUGGUCACUUUGUCUAUUUGCUUGUUUUUUCCUUUCGAUCUUCAUCUCAGCUUUUGUUUUGCCUGGAACUGUUGAUCAAUGAUAAAGUUGCCUUGAUUUGGCUUAUACUCUACCACAUCGGAUGUUUGUGAUAUUGCCUAGCAUAAGUUUAAGAUACCUCCCAAUUGACUUUCGCUCCUGUUCCUCAAUUAAACUAUGCUAAAUAGACCUACAUUGUUAAUCAUGGUAUAUGUAGUGGGCUUAAUUAUUUAUCAUCCCAGUUUACUCUUCAGGAGCACUUACCUGCAGUUGGCUUGUAGCCUAUAAUGGAAUGGAGGCAUGGAUUAGUCCUUUGACCGUAUUAAUUGUUCUUAUGAGCUCCUAUAGGUUUCUUAGUUAACUUGACCAGCCAUCUAGAGGUCUCAUGGUUGUUCUCCAAUAAAUAUUGGUGGUCGUAUGCUAGCAUGGUUAAUAUUGGUAGUUUUUUCCAGGAAACACUUCAGAUCUCUAGGUUCCAGCUGAUUUUAUUGCAAUACUUCAUAUAGUUUCAAUGCCCUCCUCUAUUCCUUUUAUUUUCUUGUCCAUCCAUCUAAGGUCUGACAGACCUGCAGAUGCCAUCAUGCAGUCGAGACUGUUUAGAUUAAUGGGCUGCUUGGAAAUACUGAAGCAAAUGCUGGUGAUCCUCAGGUUGUUUACAAGCAUAAUUGGUUUCUACAAGCCCUAGGCUCAUUUUGAUGACUUCGACACCUUAUUGACCAUUCUCUAUUCCACGGGUUACUCAACAGGCUACUAUGAAAAUUCAGAGUACUUUGUGUUCAGCCUGCUGAAUGGUGUUACUUUUAGCAGGUGCCUAUCUGAUUUUGGUCGUCUUUCUAUUUUUGUGUUAUUUGACUUAUCAACAGUUUUGUCCACCAGAAAGCUAAAAGGGUGCACCACCAUCUUAAACGUGGGUCAUCUUCUUUUGUAGAAUGACAAGGGUCAGGCCUCAAGAAUUUCGUAGCUUUCAAUUGGUAGCGCCUAUUCAUAAACUAAUGUUUAUAAAAUAUUGCCUCUGUUAUUUCCUCAAGUAGAAUUGCUAGAACUUUAGGCAUCAACCUGCUUCAUACUAACCUUACAUAACAACUUUAUCAGACACAUGACGAUGUUUCUCUUUUCCUGUUAAACUCUCCAAUCUUAAUACAGUGGCACCUCCUAUUGUCAUUUAUAGUGUACCAAAACUUUAUUACAAACUUUA